rnacentral:rRNA from 1 species
UGCAGUCUUUCGGGCUGAUGAUCUCUGCGUAUUACCAUGAGCAAAUCAGAGUGCUCAAAGCAGGCUUUAUAGCUUGAAUGUUUUAGCAUGAAUAAUGAAAUAAGCCUUAGGUCUUGUUUCGUUGGUUUACUUGACACUGGGAAUGAUGAAUAGGAACGGUUGGGGGCAUUGUAUUUGGCCGCUAGAGGUGAAAUUCUUUGGAUUGGCCGAAGACAAACUACUGCGAAAGCAUUUGAGCCCAGGACGUUUUUCAUUGAUCAGGGACUAAAGUUUGAGGGAUCGAAGACGAUUAGAUACCGUCGUAGUCUAACCACAAACUAUGCCGACUAGCGAUCGCAUGGAUACUUUUUUUGUUCUAUGCGGCAGCUUAGCGAAAUAAAGUCUUUGGUUCUGGGGGGAGUAUGGACGCAAGCUGAAACUUAAAGGAAUUGACGGAAGGCACCACCAGAGUGGAGCCUGCGGCUUAAUUUGACUCAACACGGGGAAACUCACCAGGUCCAGACAUAAGAAGGAUUGACAGAUUGAAAGCUCUUUCUAGAUUUUAUGGGUGGUGGUGCAUGGCCGUUCUUAGUUCGUGGAGUGAUUUUGUCUGGUUAAUUCCGAUAACGACGAGACCGUAUGAAAUAGUUGGAAGGCCCAUCUUUUGAUGGGUGGCAUGAGACUUUUGUCUCCCUUCCGCCUAUUCGACUACUGAAUUCAAUUCAGGGAAGUAUGGCAAUAACAGGUCUGUGAUGCCCUUAGAUGUUCUGGGCCGCACGCGCGCUACACUGACAAAGUCAACGAGUUUUUUCCUUGGCCGGAAGGUCUGGGUAAACUUUUGAAACUUUGUCGUGCUGGGGAUAGAGCAUUGCAAUUAUUGCUCUUCAACGAGGAAUUCCUAGUAAGCGCAAGUCAUCAGCUUGCGUUGAUUACGUCCCUGCCCUUUGUACACACCGCCCGUCGCUACUACCGAUUGAAUGGUCAUAGUGAGCAUGUGGGAUCGACGUUUUCACGGUGGCAACACCGAGAAGAUGUUGAGAACUAUGGCAAACUAGGCUAUUUAGAGGAAGUAAAAGUCGUAACAAGGUUUCCGUAGGUGAACCUGCGGAAG